rnacentral:lncRNA from 1 species
ACAUAGAUUUGGAGAAUGGCAUAUGGUUGUAACAAAAUAGUUCAAUUGGUACCAAAACAAUUCCUGCAUGAUACACCAAUCCCCUCAAGUCCAGGGGUGGAACCUUUCAUAUGCACAAAUUGGGGACCAACAAGCAUCACCCCAUAAGAGACAACUAUUUGCACUUCAAAAUUUAAUGAAAAGGGAAAAUUUUUCUUUGAACAAAAAGGGAUCGGAUUGAAAUAGAGCUUGAUUUGAGUUUCUCGCAUGGGUUUAACGGUUUGAUCUAGUGGAUCGCUAUCAUAGUGCUGGAUUGGGAUUGGGCUAACGGUCAGAUCAAGUGGAUCCAUAUCAUGGUGCAGGUUGGGAUCGAGCUGAUAUUGGGAUCGAAUCAAGUGGAUUAGUAUCAUGGUGCGAGAUUGGGAUCAGGCCAAAAUUGAGCUUAACUAAGGUUCCCCGCAUGGGUUUAAUAGUUCGAUCUAGUAGAUCAG